UACGUAGGGGCCUAGCGUUGUCCGGAAUUAUUGGGCGUAAAGCGCGCGCAGGCGGUCCCUUCAGUCUGAUGUGAAAGCCCACGGCUCAACCGUGGAGGGUCAUUGGAAACUGGGGGACUUGAGUACAGAAGAGGAAAGUGGAAUUCCACGUGUAGCGGUGAAAUGCGUAGAGAUGUGGAGGAACACCAACGGCGAAAGCACUCUGCUGGGCCGACACUGACACUGAGAGACGAAAGCUAGGGGAGCGAAUGGG
rnacentral:rRNA from 1 species